UCUAACUGCACUUCCCGGGAGGCAGGGAGAUCAUUCUCAAACCCGCUCAACCCGGGAUCCUCGUUGGCUUGAGGCUGGGGCAGCAGGUCAGAUCAGGGAUGAGACUUCCAGGCCGGGCUUACUUGUGCCAUCUUGCUGAGGAAGCAAUCGAUGAAGUCGCGGGGAGAGCUGGGGUCGAGGGAGUCCUGGUGGUCGCGGACGCUGCGGGCGAUGAGGUCCUUCAUGCGCCCGAAGUUCCGGAAAAGGCGUCGGUGCGGCCCAGAACCUGGUACCUGGACAGCACCAUUCAGCGUUGGAAACCCAGGUGGGCUGCUGUGCUCAGGGGCCACACUGGAUUGUUUUGUUGGGGAGUGUGAUGGGGACUCCCAAAGGAUACACUCUGGCUUUUCAAAGGAAUCAGAAAUUGGGAGGAUUUGGUUAUGAGAUAAGUGUCUUCUAAUACCAUGUGAAAUAAGAUUUUGAAAAAAAUAUGCAUUCUGAGAAUAUAAAUGGUGAAAAGACAGUCUCUUCAAUAAAUGGUGCUGGGACAACUGGACAGAUACAUGCAGAAGAAUGAAACUGGACCAUUUUCUCACACCAUACACAAAAAUAAACUCAAAGUGGAUUUUUUUUUUAAGUUUAUUUAUUUUUGGGACAGAGAGAGACAGAGCAUGAAUGGGGGAGGGUCAGAGAGAGAAGGAGACACAGAAUCUGAAACAGGCUCCAGGCUCCGAGCUGUCAGCACAGAGCCCAACACGGGGCUGGAACUCACGGACCGCGAGAUCAUGACCUGAGCCGAAGUCGGACGCUCAACUGACUGAGCCACCCAGGCGCCCCUCAAAAUGGAUUAAAGACCUAAAUGUGAGGCCUGAAACCAUAAAACUCCUAGAAGAAAACAUAGGCAGUAAUCUCUUUGAUAUCUGCCUUAGCAGUAUUUUUCUGAUUAUAUCUCCUCAGACAAGGGAGACAAAAGCAAAAAUAAGCUAUUGAGACUACCAAAAUAAAAAGCUUUUGUACAGUGAAGGAAACCAUCAACAAAACAAAAAGGCAUCUGGGAAAACAUAUUUACAAAUGAUAUAUCCAAUAAGGGGUUAAUAUCUAAAAUAUAUAAGGUACUUAUACAACUGAACACUAAAAAAGCAGACAAUCUGAUAAAAAAUGGGCAGAGGACCUGAAUAGGCAUUUUUCCAAAUAAGACAUACAGAUGGCUAAUAGACGCAUGAAAAGAUGCUCAACAUCACUCAUCAUCAGGGAAAUGCAAAUCAAAACCACAAUGAAGGAAGCCUGGCUGGCUUAGUCAGAAGAGCGUAUGACUCUUGAUGGAGGGAUUGUGAGUUCAAGCCCCAUGCUGGGUGUAGAGAUUACUUAAAAUAAAUAAAACUUAAAAAAAAAA